GACGAACGCUGGCGGCGUGCUUAACACAUGCAAGUCGAACGGAAAGGCCCUGCUUUUGUGGGGUGCUCGAGUGGCGAACGGGUGAGUAACACGUGAGUAACCUGCCCUUGACUUUGGGAUAACUUCAGGAAACUGGGGCUAAUACCGGAUAGGAGCUCCUGCUGCAUGGUGGGGGUUGGAAAGUUUCGGCGGUUGGGGAUGGACUCGCGGCUUAUCAGCUUGUUGGUGGGGUAGUGGCUUACCAAGGCUUUGACGGGUAGCCGGCCUGAGAGGGUGACCGACCACAUUGGGACUGAGAUACGGCCCAGACUCCUACGGGAGGCAGCAGUGGGGAAUAUUGCACAAUGGGCGGAAGCCUGAUGCAGCAACGCCGCGUGCGGGAUGACGGCCUUCGGGUUGUAAACCGCUUUCGCCUGUGACGAAGCGUGAGUGACGGUAAUGGGUAAAGAAGCACCGGCUAACUACGUGCCAGCAGCCGCGGUGAUACGUAGGGUGCGAGCGUUGUCCGGAUUUAUUGGGCGUAAAGGGCUCGUAGGUGGUUGAUCGCGUCGGAAGUGUAAUCUUGGGGCUUAACCCUGAGCGUGCUUUCGAUACGGGUUGACUUGAGGAAGGUAGGGGAGAAUGGAAUUCCUGGUGGAGCGGUGGAAUGCGCAGAUAUCAGGAGGAACACCAGUGGCGAAGGCGGUUCUCUGGGCCUUUCCUGACGCUGAGGAGCGAAAGCGUGGGGAGCGAACAGGCUUAGAUACCCUGGUAGUCCACGCUGUAAACGGUGGGUACUAGGUGUGGGGUCCAUUCCACGGGUUCCGUGCCGUAGCUAACGCUUUAAGUACCCCGCCUGGGGAGUACGGCCGCAAGGCUAAAACUCAAAGGAAUUGACGGGGCCCCGCACAAGCGGCGGAGCAUGCGGAUUAAUUCGAUGCAACGCGUAGAACCUUACCUGGGUUUGACAUGGAUCGGGAGUGCUCAGAGAUGGGUGUGCCUCUUUUGGGGUCGGUUCACAGGUGGUGCAUGGCUGUCGUCAGCUCGUGUCGUGAGAUGCUGGGUUAAGUCCCGCAACGAGCGCAACCCUUGUUCACUGUUGCCAGCACGUUAUGGUGGGGACUCAGUGGAGACCGCCGGGGUCAACUCGGAGGAAGGUGGGGAUGACGUCAAGUCAUCAUGCCCCUUAUGUCCAGGGCUUCACGCAUGCUACAAUGGCUGGUACAGAGAGUGGCGAGCCUGUGAGGGUGAGCGAAUCUCGGAAAGCCGGUCUCAGUUCGGAUUGGGGUCUGCAACUCGACCUCAUGAAGUCGGAGUCGCUAGUAAUCGCAGAUCAGCAACGCUGCGGUGAAUACGUUCCCGGGGCU
rnacentral:rRNA from 1 species